GAUCCUGGCUCAGAUUGAACGCUGGCGGCAGGCUUAACACAUGCAAGUCGAACGGUAACAGGAAGAAAGCUUGCUUUCUUUGCUGACGAGUGGCGGACGGGUGAGUAAUGCUUGGGAAUCUGGCUUAUGGAGGGGGAUAACUACGGGAAACUGUAGCUAAUACCGCGUAAUAUCGAGAGAUUAAAGGGUGGGACCGCAAGGCCACCUGCCAUGAGAUGAGCCCAAGUGGGAUUAGGUAGUUGGUGAGGG
rnacentral:rRNA from 1 species